UACAGAGGUCUCAAGCGUUGUUCGGAUUCAUUGGGCGUAAAGGGUGCGUAGGUGGCGCCGUAAGUCAGGUGUGAAAUUUCGGAGCUUAACUCCGAAACUGCAUUUGAUACUGCGGUGCUUGAGGACUGGAGAGGAGACUUGGAAUUCACGGUGUAGCAGUGAAAUGCGUAGAUAUCGUGAGGAAGACCAGUGGCGAAGGCGGGUCUCUGGACAGUUCCUGACACUGAGGCAACGAAGGCCAGGGGAGCAAACGGG
rnacentral:rRNA from 1 species